UACGUAGGGCGCAAGCGUUGUCCGGAAUUAUUGGGCGUAAAGAGCUCGUAGGCGGCCUGUUGCGUCCGCUGUGAAAGCCCGGGGCUUAACCCCGGGUCGGCAGUGGAUACGGGCAGGCUAGAGGUAGGUAGGGGAGAAUGGAAUUCCCGGUGUAGCGGUGAAAUGCGCAGAUAUCGGGAGGAACACCAAUAGCGAAGGCAGCUCGCUGGGACGUUACUGACACUGAGGCGCGAAAGCGUGGGGAGCGAACAGG
rnacentral:rRNA from 1 species